rnacentral:rRNA from 1 species
GACGAACGCUGGCGGCGUGCUUAACACAUGCAAGUCGAACGGAAAGGCUCCAGCUUGCUUGAGUACUCGAUUGGCGAACGGGUGAGUAACACGUGGGUAAUCUGCCCUUCACUCUGGGAUAAGCCUGGGAAACUGGGUCUAAUACUGGAUAUGACCUUUCUCCUUAUGGGGUUUGGUGGAAAGUUUUUCGGUGUAGGAUGAGCCUGCGGCCUAUCAGCUUGUUGGUGGGGUGAUGGCCUACCAAGGCGACGACGGGUAGCCGGCCUGAGAGGGUGAUCGGCCACAUUGGGACUGAGAUACGGACCAGACUCCUACGGGAGGCAGCAGUGGGGAAUAUUGCACAAUGGGCGGAAGCCUGAUGCAGCGACGCCGCGUGAGGGAUGACGGCCUUCGGGUUGUAAACCUCUUUCAGCAGGGACGAAGCGUAAGUGACGGUACCUGCAGAAGAAGCACCGGCUAACUAUGUG